GUGUGAUUCACUUCCAUGUCUGAACAAAGACUUUCAAUUCCUUCUGGAUCGAUCAAACCGGAAGAGGCAUUGGCAUAUGAGUAAAAUAGGCUAUCAAUCCGUUCCAACUCUUUUGUGCUUGCUCUACUUGAGGCGGAGCGAAAGAGAUCGACGGCGGAAGAAUUAACGGAAGUUGAAUUGGGUUGACCGGCUUUCCUUGUAGCAGAGCGCCGCAUCUUCUUCUUCUUCUUCUUCU
rnacentral:misc_RNA from 1 species